rnacentral:rRNA from 1 species
AGUGAACGCUGGCGGUAGGCCUAACACAUGCAAGUCGAACGGCAGCACAGUAGGAGCUUGCUCUUACGGGUGGCGAGUGGCGGACGGGUGAGGAAUACAUCGGAAUCUACUUUUUCGUGGGGGAUAACGUAGGGAAACUUACGCUAAUACCGCAUCCGACCUACGGGUGAAAGCAGGGGAUCUUCGGACCUUGCGCGAUUGAAUGAGCCGAUGUCGGAUUAGCUAGUUGGCGGGGUAAAGGCCCACCAAGGCGACGAGCCGUAGCUGGUCUGAGAGGAUGAUCAGCCACACUGGAACUGAGACACGGUCCAGACUCCUACGGGAGGCAGCAGUGGGGAAUAUUGGACAAUGGGCGCAAGCCUGAUCCAGCCAUACCGCGUGGGUGAAGAAGGCCUUCGGGUUGUAAAGCCCUUUUGUUGGGAAAGAAAAGCAGCAGGUUAAUACCCCGCUGUUCUGACGGUACCCAAAGAAUAAGCACCGGCUAACUUCGUG